rnacentral:rRNA from 1 species
GAAUAUUGCACAAUGGGGGAAACCCUGAUGCAGCAACGCCGCGUGAGCGAAGAAGGCCUUCGGGUCGUAAAGCUCUGUCCUAAGGGAAGAAUAAUGACGGUACCUUAGGAGGAAGCCCCGGCUAACUACGUGCCAGCAGCCGCGGUAAUACGUAGGGGGCAAGCGUUAUCCGGAAUCACUGGGCGUAAAGGGUGCGUAGGCGGCUAAUCAAGCCAGGGGUGAAAGGCUACGGCUUAACCGUAGUAAGCCUUUGGAACUGACUAGCUUGAGUGCAGGAGAGGAGAGUGGAAUUCCUAGUGUAGCGGUGAAAUGCGUAGAUAUUAGGAGGAACACCAGUGGCGAAGGCGACUCUCUGGACUGUAACUGACGCUGAGGCACGAAAGCGUGGGGAGCAAACAGG